UACGUAGGGGGCGAGCGUUGUCCGGAAUUACUGGGCGUAAAGCGCACGUAGGCGGCUUUGUAAGUUAGAGGUGAAAGCCUGGAGCUCAACUCCAGAAUUGCCUUUAAGACUGCAUCGCUUGAAUCCAGGAGAGGUGAGUGGAAUUCCGAGUGUAGAGGUGAAAUUCGUAGAUAUUCGGAAGAACACCAGUGGCGAAGGCGGCUCACUGGACUGGUAUUGACGCUGAGGUGCGAAAGCGUGGGGAGCAAACAGG
rnacentral:rRNA from 1 species